AUUGAACGCUGGCGGCAGGCCUAACACAUGCAAGUCGAACGGUAACAGGAAAAAGCUUGCUGUUUCGCUGACGAGUGGCGGACGGGUGAGUAAUGUCUGGGAAACUGCCUGAUGGAGGGGGAUAACUACUGGAAACGGUAGCUAAUACCGCAUAACGUCGAAAGACCAAAGAGGGGGACCUUCGGGCCUCUUGCCACCGGAUGUGCCCAGAUGGGAUUAGCUAGCAGGUGGGGUAACGGCUCACCUAGGCGACGAUUCCUAGCUGGGCUGGGAGGAUGACAAGCCACACUAGAACUGAGACACGGUCCAGACUCCUGCGGGAGGCAGCAGUGGGGAAUAUUGCACAAUGGGCGCAAGCCUGAGGCAGCCAUGCCGCGUGUAUGAAGAAGGCCUUCGGGUUGUAACGUACUUUCAGCGGGGAGGAAGGGAGUAAAGUUAAUACCUUUGCUCAUUGACGUUACCCGCAGAAGAAGCACCGGCUAACUCCGUGCCAGCAGCCGCCGUAA
rnacentral:rRNA from 1 species